rnacentral:lncRNA from 1 species
CCAAGAAGUACCGCAAGAUGAAGGAGAGGCUCGUCGGCGUCUCGGAGGAGACCACCACCGGAGUCAAGAGGCUCUACCAGAUGCAGGAGACCGGCACCCUACUCUUCCCCGCCAUCAACGUCAACGACUCCGUUACCAAGAGCAAGGUGCGUGACUUCCUUUGCUUGUCCUAGCGUGGAUCUAGAUCCUUGGUUACCCUUCUUGUGGAUAAAUGAUGGAUGCAUACAGCCUACUCUGCAGGGUAGCUCUCUAGAAGUGGUUGUUACUUGUUAGCUUGUUUAACUGGCAUUAUGUUGGAUAUUGAUCUGUGGUUUAGAUCUCUGGGCAGAUCUGUUAAUCGAGAUUGAUAAUGUCAUGGUUUUUCCCUGGUUAUCUGUGCCGCUCAGUUUCUCUGAUAGUUGUGGUUCGGUUAUCGAGUGGCUCCUAAAUUACAGGAAUUAUGGUCCAUGUUGACUUACUAAUAGUUUAUUGAUAACUUGCUGAUAGUAGGCGCAUGUUUGGUGGAUGUGACGACACUAUGACAUCAUAACACAUCUGUACCCUGUUUGCUUAGUCUGCAAGUAGAAGCAUCAUUCAUUUUGUAUUAAUAUACAUGUUUAGUUUAAGGUAUUGCACUGUAUGGCGGGUCUUAACUUAAAAGUGUACGCAGUGCGUUUCCUAGAUUCUUUAAUGUAUUCUUUCUGAGAUGUCUCUAGUAUCUGUAAGCAACUCCCUCCAUAUCUGUAUCCAUUAGUCUUUGCAGCUACAAAUAUGUUUUCUUUUAAACAGUCUGGCAUGUUACUAGCAAUGUAGUAAAGUAAUGCAACUGACAAGUUAAACAGUACUGAUGUGUUUCUACCUCUGAACAGUUUGACAACCUGUAUGGUUGCCGCCACUCCCUCCCUGAUGGUUUGAUGAGAGCCACCGAUGUUAUGAUCGCUGGCAAGGUUGCAGUUGUCUGCGGUUAUGGUGAUGUUGGCAAGGGCUGUGCUGCUGCCCUCAAGCAGGCUGGUGCCCGUGUCAUCGUGACUGAGAUCGACCCCAUCUGUGCCCUUCAGGCCCUGAUGGAGGGUCUUCAGGUCCUUACCUUGGAAGAUGUCGUCUCUGAAGCUGACAUCUUUGUGACCACCACCGGCAACAAGGACAUCAUCAUGGUUGACCACAUGAGGAAGAUGAAGAACAACGCAAUCGUCUGCAACAUUGGUCACUUUGACAAUGAGAUUGACAUGCACGGUCUUGAGACCUACCCUGGUGUCAAGCGCAUCACCAUCAAGCCCCAGACUGACCGCUGGGUGUUCCCUGAGACCAAGACUGGCAUCAUUGUCCUCGCUGAGGGUCGUCUGAUGAACCUUGGGUGCGCUACUGGCCACCCCAGCUUUGUCAUGUCCUGCUCAUUCACUAACCAGGUAAAUUUGUCAGCCAAUACCCAUCUUGUCUUGCCCAUGUUAGCUGAUACAUUAGCGGUUGAAAUCAUACAGGUCAUUGCCAAGUCAUUGCUUACCCAUCAUACUAAGUCUUGGUGCUUAAUACAGGUCAUUGCUCAGCUUGAGCUGUGGAAGGAGAAGAGCUCUGGCAAGUAUGAGAAGAAGGUGUACGUGCUCCCCAAGCACCUUGAUGAGAAGGUUGCUGCUCUCC